rnacentral:lncRNA from 1 species
ACAGUAGCCUUCUUUUAUUUAUUAUUUUUUGAGAUGGAGUUUCACUGUUUCACCCAGGCUGGAGUGAAGUGGUGCAAUCUCAGCUCACUGCAAACUCCGCCCCCUGGGUUCAAGUGAUUCUCUUGCCUCAGCCUCCCGAGUAGCUGGGAUUACAAGAGUGCACCGCCAUGCCCAGCUAAUUUCUGUAUUUUUAGUAGAGACAGGGUUUUGCCAUGUUGGCCAGGCUGGUCUGGAACUCCUGACCUUAGGUGAUCCAUCUGCCUCGGCCUCCAAAAGUGUGAAGAUUACAGGCCUGAGUCACCGCGCCCGGCUGACAGUAGCUUUCUAAUGGAGCCAUCUGCUUCCAGUCUUGCCUCUCAACCCCCAAUUCAUCCUGGACUCCUUGCCAUAAGUGACCUUGCUAAAUGGAGAUUUGCCUCAGGCUCUGGAGCCAGAGAAACUUAGGUUUCCAGCUCAACUACUUAUUCACAAAAGUUCAAGGGCAAGUGUUUUCAUCUGGACUUCAAUAUUACGAACUACACAAUGGGAAACUUGCUCUAAAGAAAAAUUGCUGGAUUAAGGGAUGUGAAUAUUUUAGCAGUGCUUGACACUUAGCCAAAUUGCCUUCCAGAAGUGAUGAAACAACUUACCCUCCCACAGGCAGCUCAUGAAACCUCCUGUCUCACCAAACUAGGUAUUGGAAUUCUAAAAAGAAAAUAAAGCUGUUUGCCAAUUUGAGAGUCUCUGUUGAUUUACUUGGGCAUUUCUCACCUUCCUGUCAGAGGGCCAGGUGGGAGCUCCUGGUUAGGAGGAAGGAGGGGCCUUAGG